CUGGGAGGACCAUCUCCUAAGGCUAAAUACUCUCUAGUGACCGAUAGUGAACCAGUACCGUGAGGGAAAGGUGAAAAGCACCCCGGAAGGGGAGUGAAAUAGAACCUGAAACCGUGUGCUUACAAGUAGUCAGAGCCCGUUAAUGGGUGAUGGCGUGCCUUUUGUAGAAUGAACCGGCGAGUUACGAUUUGAUGCAAGGUUAAGCAGUAAAUGUGGAGCCGUAGCGAAAGCGAGUCUGAAUAGGGCGUUUAGUAUUUGGUCGUAGACCCGAAACCAGGUGAUCUACCCUUGGUCAGGUUGAAGUUCAGGUAACACUGAAUGGAGGACCGAACCGACUUACGUUGAAAAGUGAGCGGAUGAACUGAGGGUAGCGGAGAAAUUCCAAUCGAACCUGGAGAUAGCUGGUUCUCUCCGAAAUAGCUUUAGGGCUAGCCUCAAGUGAUGAUUAUUGGAGGUAGAGCACUGUUUGGACGAGGGGCCCCUCUCGGGUUACCGAAUUCAGACAAACUCCGAAUGCCAAUUAAUUUAACUUGGGAGUCAGAACAUGGGUGAUAAGGUCCGUGUUCGAAAGGGAAACAGCCCAGACCACCAGCUAAGGUCCCAAAAUAUAUGUUAAGUGGAAAAGGAUGUGGCGUUGCCCAGACAACUAGGAUGUUGGCUUAGAAGCAGCCAUCAUUUAAAGAGUGCGUAAUAGCUCACUAGUCGAGUGACACUGCGCCGAAAAUGUACCGGGGCUAAACAUAUUACCGAAGCUGUGGAUUGUCCUUUGGACAAUGGUAGGAGAGCGUUCUAAGGGCGUUGAAGCAUGAUCGUAAGGACAUGUGGAGCGCUUAGAAGUGAGAAUGCCGGUGUGAGUAGCGAAAGACGGGUGAGAAUCCCGUCCACCGAUUGACUAAGGUUUCCAGAGGAAGGCUCGUCCGCUCUGGGUUAGUCGGG
rnacentral:rRNA from 1 species